UGCCGUGCGAACUACUGCUGUGUUGUACAGGCAGAUGCGACCGCUUCUUCUUUUUCUUUUUGUUUUUUUUAAUGAACCGGCGACCACCGAGAUCUACACUAUCCUCUUCGUCGGCAGCGUCAGAUGUGUAUAAGAGACAGACCCACAUCCGUUGAAAAGGGUGGGGAUGAGGUGUGGAUAGGGGAGAAAUUCCAAUCGAACCCGGAGAUAGCUGGUUCUCCUCGAAAUAGCUUUAGGGCUAGCCUCGAUAGAGAUACAUGGAGGUAGAGCACUGAAUUUCCUAGGGGGCGUCAAAGCCUACCGAAGAAUAUCAAACUCCGAAUGCCAUGGAAUUGAUUAUCGGGAGUCAGACUAUACGAGAUAAGUUGGAUAGUCAAAAGGGAAAGAGCCCAGACCUCCAGCUAAGGUCCCAAAGUACGUGUUAAGUGGAAAAGGAUGUGGGAUUUCGAAGACAACCAGGAUGUUGGCUCAGAAGCAGCCAUACAUUCAAAGAGUGCGUAAUAGCUCACUGGUCGAGAGGUCCUGCGCCGAAAAUGUCCGGGGCUAAAACACGACACCGAAGCUGAGGAAUGUAGUAAUACAUUGGUAGAGGAGCAUUGAAUACGGGAAGAAGCAGUACCGAAAGGAGCUGUGGACUGUAUUGAAGAGAGAAUGCCGGAAUGAGUAGCGAGAAUAAGGUGAGAAUCCUUAUGGCCGAAUAUCUAAGGUUUCCAGGGUAAAGCUGAUCUGCCCUGGGUAAGUCGGGACCUAAGGCGAGGUCGAAAGACGUAGCCGAUGGACAACAGGUUGAGAUUCCUGUACUGCGUUAGAACAGAACUGUGGGGACACGUGUGGAAAGCACAUCCUGGGAAUGGAAUCCCGGGGCAAGCGAAGGAGGAGUCACAUAGGAAAAACCGUGUGACAAUCCAAAGGCGUGAUGCGGACCGAAUUCGAGUAGGGAAGUGUGUGAGCCAUGCGUCAAGAAAAGCCGCUAUUGUUUGUAACGUACCCGUACCGUAAACCGACACAGGUGGAUGAGGAGAGAAUCCUAAGGCCGACGGAAGAAGCAUUGCCAAGGAACUCGGCAAAAUGACCCCGUAACUUCGGGAGAAGGGGUGCCCGUGUAAAAGCGGGCCGCAGAGAAUAGGCUCAAGCAACUGUUUAGCAAAAACACAGGUCUAUGCGAAACCGAAAGGUGAGGUAUAUGGGCUGACGCCUGCCCGGUGCUGGAAGGUUAAGAGGAGAUGUCAGGAAACGAAGCAUUGAAUUUAAGCCCCAGUAAACGGCGGCCGUAACUAUAACGGUCCUAAGGUAGCGAAAUUCCUUGUCGGGUAAGUUCCGACCCGCACGAAAGGCGUAAUGAUUUGAGCGCUGUCUCGGCAAUGCAUCCGGUGAAAUUGAAGUACCAGUGAAGAUGCUGGUUACCUGCGCCAGGACGGAAAGACCCCAUGGAGCUUUACUCCAGUUUGGUACUGGGAUUCGGUAUUGCAUGUACAGGAUAGGUGGGAGACUAGGAGGUAGUGACGCCAGUUGCUACGGAGUCAAUGUUGGGAUACCACCCUUGCAGUAUUGGGU
rnacentral:rRNA from 1 species